rnacentral:rRNA from 1 species
GAUCCUCCCACCCUUUGUGUACCUACCUCUGUUGCUUUGGCGGGCCGCGGUUCUCCGCGGCCGCCCCCCUUCCCGGGGGGUGGCCAGCGCCCGCCAGAGGACCAUCAAACUCCAGUCAGUAAACGAUGCAGUCUGAAAAACAUUUAAUAAACUAAAACUUUCAACAACGGAUCUCUUGGUUCUGGCAUCGAUGAAGAACGCAGCGAAAUGCGAUAAGUAAUGUGAAUUGCAGAAUUCAGUGAAUCAUCGAAUCUUUGAACGCACAUUGCGCCCUUUGGUAUUCCGAAGGGCAUGCCUGUUCGAGCGUCAUUACAACCCUCAAGCUCUGCUUGGUAUUGGGCACCGUCCUUUGCGGGCGCGCCUCAAAGACCUCGGCGGUGGCGUCUUGCCUCAAGCGUAGUAGAACAUACAUCUCGCUUCGGAGCGCAGGGCGUCGCCCGCCGGACGAACCUUCUGAACUUUUCUCAAGGUUGACCUCGGAUCAGGUAGGGUUCCCGGUUGAACUUAAGCAUAUCAAUAA